rfam:Phytophthora infestans T30-4 supercont1.52 genomic scaffold, whole genome shotgun sequence.
ACCUUUCAGCAGUGGAAUGUCUAGGCUCGCAACAUCGAUGAGAACGCUUGCGAACCUGCGAUACGUCAUUGCGAAAUUGCCAGAUUCAGUGAGUCAUCCGCACAUGCUGGACCGCAUAUUGCACUUCCGGGUUAGCCCUGGAAGUAUGCCUGUAUCAGUGUCC